rnacentral:lncRNA from 7 species
ACCGCCGCUUUACCUUUCACUGUCUCUGCAGCUUCUCUUCUUGCACAGAUCUAUCGAUUCCCCGUCUCAUCUUUUCUUUUUGCUUUUCUAUGUUCCUGAUAACCCACAUGAACGUUUACCAGCGAAAUUGCCAGCUGCACAUUUCAUAUUACUAAUCCAUGCCGGACCAGAUCCAACUGAAUACGUGUACGGAUUCACCUUCC